CCUACGGGAGACAGCAGUGAGGAAUAUUGGUCAAUGGGCGGAAGCCUGAACCAGCCAAGUAGCGUGCAGGAUGACGGCCCUACGGGUUGUACACUGCUUUUAUACGGGAAUAACGCGCCUUACGUGUGGGGCUUUGCAUGUACCGUAUGAAUUAGGACAGGAUAAUUCCGUGCCAGCAGCCGCGGUAAUACGGAAGGUCCGGGCGUUAGCCGGAUUUAUUGGGUUUAAAGGGCGCGUAGGCCGCAUGUCAAGCGUGCUGUGAAAUGUCCGGGCUCAACCCGGGCCUGGCAGCGCGCACUGGCGUGCUUGAGUCCGCGGAAAGCAGGCGGAAUUCGUCGUGUAGCGGUGAAAUGCUUAGAUAUGACGAAGAACCCCGAUUGCGAAGGCAGCUUGCUGCAGCGGAACUGACGCUGAUGCUCGAAAGCGCGGGUAUCGAACAGGAUUAGAUACCCUUGUAGUC
rnacentral:rRNA from 1 species